rnacentral:rRNA from 1 species
CGGGUGAGUAAUGCUUGGGAAUCUGCUUAUGGAGGGGGAUAACUACGGGAAACUGUAGCUAAUACCGCGUAGUAUCGGAAGAUGAAAGUGUGGGACCUUCGGGCCACAUGCCAUAGGAUGAGCCCAAGUGGGAUUAGGUAGUUGGUGAGGUAAAGGCUCACCAAGCCGACGAUCUCUAGCUGGUCUGAGAGGAUGACCAGCCACACUGGGACUGAGACACGGCCCAG